GGAAGAUCCAUCGCCGCUGGUUACCACAGAGCUCCCGUCCGCAGACGCGACACGUUUCCUUCAUCUUGAGAUCCAGCAUGCCACAGGCGCACACACAGAGGGUCAUGCUGUUUCUCGUGGAUAUGCAGUGAGAAAUCCCAACGACCUCAAAGCAGUCCUGUGGCUUCAGGUCAGAGUACCGAUCAUGUGCUCCGUCAUUAAUAUCUGCUGCAUGACAUAUGAGCUGUUCGAGAUUUGAGGUGUUGCAGUUAAGACAGGACCAUGGAGCCAACACCCAUAGAUGGAGCUGCUGUUUCUCCUGGAGCUCCUGCUUCAAGCUCUCUACUUCCACCUUCAGCUCGAUGUUCUGCAACAGAUGAAAGCAGCAGGUCAGUCAUUGGUCAUACGUUAAUUUGUCAUCACACAUCAUUAAAUAUAUCCUCCAACAUCAGCAUUAAAUCAUGAUGAACAGAUAAAUGACCAUUUGUAAUUGUACUGUUGCAUCAGUGAUAGUGGGUGGUGGAAUAGUCCUGUGAUCAAGAAAACUUGCACUAUUAGCAAAAAAGAAAAAAACUGAUACAUUUAUUCUAUAAAUUCUGUAAUUUCAUACAAUUACAUAAAGAAGACCAAGUUGCAAUAUAUUUUGGAGCUAUUUCACACACUUGAGCUCAUCACUUUGUGUAACGUGUGUCCGCUCUGUAUAUCUGAGGUUCAGGUACAGAUUACGUACUUUAAUAUGUUUGACAUGCUGUCUUUCAUUAUUUCUAUAUUACUGGGUUUGUCUGAAUCUAAAGUUUUCUUCCCUCCCCCACAUCUUGAGUACCUUUUCCUCUUGUUUCCUACAUCUCUUCAUCACACGCUAACCUCUCUGCCAGAACACAUGAGCGUGCUGUCAAGGCUGGUAUAUUUAGAGCUGGCGAAUUUGUGGCAGCUCAGAUAUUCGCCGUCGGGGCCAAAGGCUAAACUCCGCAGUUUGUUUACCUGCUGAGGUCCACAGGGGACACUUUAGGGCCGGCUCUGGGGGACAGAGGAUUGGUGGAGCUCAUUGCGUGACCUUGGAGAGCUGCAAGAGGACAGUGUGUCUCUCUGCUCCUCCGAUAGCCGGUCGUACCACCACAGCUUGGCUCAUGUUCAUCUCAACAGAUUGUCCACUGUCUCUUGUCCCUCAUCUCUAUUCAUCUGCGUCUCUGUCCCUGUGUCUGUCUUCGCUCUCCGCCCUUGUUCGUUCUCUCUUUCGGUUUUAGAAAUGUUUUAGUUUGUUUUGGAGUCUGUUGACCUUCCCCUGUCCCUGCCAGAGAGCUUUAUGUCCAUAACACUCACAGAGCUCCAUGUGCACUCACAGCCUGGAGGAGCCUGGAGCCUCCCCAGAAACAUUUUCCUGAGAGGCCCCACGAGUGAUCAACACGCACAUAUUACAGGUACACACACAAUACACAUUAACUGGUCAUGGCGGAUCAGAACGGGACAAAUAUCCAUAGUUUAGAUUAUUUAAAGUGAGUUUUUCUUUGGCAAGAAAAAAUUAAUAAAAUAAAAUGUUUAGUUUCUUAAGAUGUUCGUAAAUCUAUUGAAAAUUGUAAACUAUACAUGCACAAAUAAUAUAAAAAAGACAGCAGAAAUUAAUGCUAAUUCUCUGUUUCUGUGUGCGUGUGUGUGUGUCAACAACUUGACUGACAGUAAGAGAGACAUUUUCCCAUCUUGAAAACAGUUCUAUAUAUAGACACUCAUCACAGUGCACCAGCUGCUGUUGUGGCCCUUCCUGGCCUGCCGGCCCCCAGCAACAGAUCCCCUAAUAACCAAAUUGUGCAAGAGGAGGAGGAAAACACUGACGGGAGUGUCCCUAAUUAAUCAGACACACCUGCAACGUGACUGAUCACCGACUGACAGAUAUUAUAUUUUACUCUCAAUUCAUCCGUUGUUGCUGUUGCUUAUUUUGCAUAUUGCAUUCAGAACUAUUUAUACUCUGGUUGCAUCACUUUAUUUACAUGAAUGAAAACUGUGGAAUACACUAUUUUCAGAACAAGAUGAUACACAUGAUUAUUUACAUGAUUUGAUCUGCUUAUUAUUUUCUUUAUGAGUUGAUUAUUAGUUGUCUAUUAAAUGUUAUACUGAAAUACUGAAAAAUCCAAAUUCAAAGGUAUUACAUUUACAAUCCCAUGAGAUAAAUAAAAGAAGCAAAUCCUUUCAAUGAAGAAGCUGGCAGUAGAAAACAUUUGGUAUUUUUGUUUAAAAAAGUAUUAUUUGUUAUUAAAAUAGCUGAUUAUUAAAUGUU